AGUGAACGCUGGCGGUAGGCCUAACACAUGCAAGUCGAACGGCAGCACAGUAAGAGCUUGCUCUUACGGGUGGCGAGUGGCGGACGGGUGAGGAAUACAUCGGAAUCUACUUUUUCGUGGGGGAUAACGUAGGGAAACUUACGCUAAUACCGCAUACGACCUACGGGUGAAAGCAGGGGAUCUUCGGACCUUGCGCGUUUGAAUGAGCCGAUGUCGGCUUAGCUAGUUGGAGGGGUAAAGGCCCACCACGGCGGCGAUCCGUAGCUGGUCUGAGAGAAUGAUCAGCAACACUGGAACUGAGACACGGUCCUGACUCCUACGGGAGGCAGCAGUGGGGAAUAUUGGACAAGGGGCGCAAGCCUGAUCCAGCCAUACCGCGUGGGUGAAGAAGACAUUCGGGUUGUAAAGCCAUUUUGUUGGGAAAGAAAAGCAGCAGGUUAAGAAACAGCAGUUCUGACGGUACCCAAAGAAUAAGCACCGGCUAACUUCGUG
rnacentral:rRNA from 1 species